rnacentral:rRNA from 1 species
CAGCAGCCGCGGGAAUACGAAGGGGGCUAGCGUUGUUCGGAUUUACUGGGCGUAAAGCGCACGUAGGCGGAUCGAUCAGUCAGGGGUGAAAUCCCAGAGCUCAACUCUGGAACUGCCUUUGAUACUGUCGAUCUGGAGUAUGGAAGAGGUGAGUGGAAUUGCGAGUGUAGAGGUGAAAUUCGUAGAUAUUCGCAGGAACACCAGUGGCGAAGGCGGCUCACUGGCUCGAUACUGACGCUGAGGUGCGAAAGCGUGGGGAGCAAACAGGAUUAGAUACCCGCGUAGUCCCUGUCUCUUAUAC